rnacentral:rRNA from 1 species
GUGUCAGCAGCCGCGGUAAUACGUAGGGCGCAAGCGUUGUCCGGAAUUAUUGGGCGUAAAGAGCUCGUAGGCGGCCUGUCACGUCUGCUGUGAAAUCCCGGGGCUUAACCCCGGGCGUGCAGUGGAUACGGGCUGGCUGGAGGCAGGCAGGGGAGAACGGAAUUCCCGGUGUAGCGGUGAAAUGCGCAGAUAUCGGGAGGAACACCGGUGGCGAAGGCGGUUCUCUGGGCCUGUACUGACGCUGAGGAGCGAAAGCGUGGGGAGCGAACAGGAUUAGAUACCCUUGUAGUCC